UACGUAGGGGGCAAGCGUUGCUCGGAAUCACUGGGCGUAAAGCGCACGUAGGCGGCUUCUUAAGUCAGGGGUGAAAUCCCAGGGCUCAACCCUGGAACUGCCUUUGAUACUGACGAUCUGGAGAUCGGGAGAGGUUGGUGGAAUUCCGAGUGUAGAGGUGAAAUUCGUAGAUAUUCGGAGGAACACCAGAAGCGAAGGCGGCCAACUGGCCCGAUACUGACGCUGAGGCGCGAAAGCGUGGGGAGCAAACAGG
rnacentral:rRNA from 1 species